UAGGGAUCGAAGGUUGGCACCUGCAAACACAGUGAGGCUGGGGGCACCCUGUGCUCUAAGAAUGGCUGUGUUCUUCUGGGUGACCAGCCAUCCCAAGUUGCUGUAACAGUCAUGGGCAAACCAGAGCAGGUGGUUGUUCUGUUAUUUACAACCAUCUACCAACAGAAAUUUAACCAAAUCAGAAUGCCCAUCGGUUCCAUUAUACCCAGUACUAUACUUGUAUUUGUGAAUAUCAGUGCCUCAGCCCCACGCAAGUCAAAUGGAGACCUUAUUGCCUGUAUCCAACUCAGUAAAGUAGCAAAUAUAGAAAAAGUGCUGAGAGUCCUUGAAAUCCCACUCCCACACAGACCCUGUUUGUAUACAGUCGGUUAUCUCCAUGAAAGUGGGAGGCACUAACCCCACAGUCUUGGCUGGAGAACAGAUUAAGGAAUAAUGAAUAAUAGGGUCACUUGCACUCCUUGAUGUCUUCAGGCCACUUAUUACCUGGUUUUCAACCUUCACACGUCCUCCUCAGGGAAGUCAUAGUCCUCUGGAUGACCACUGCCAAUUGUGUUUAUUGUUGCUUAAUUAUUUUACCUGCUUUUAUUUAUUUAUUUUUUGACAGAGUCUUGCUGUGUCACCCAGGCUGGAAUGCCGUGGCACAAUCUCGGCUCAACCUCCACCUCCUGGGUUCAAGUGAUUCUUCUGUCUCAGCCUCCUGAGUAGCUGGGACUACAGGAAGAGUGCACAGGAGCCUGGCACUCCUGGACCUGAGGAAACCCUGAAACUGUUGGUAUUUGCAGAUCCUCUCCAAAAAGAGUUCACCGAUCUCCUAAGACUGCAAACCUGACCCCAGCAUGCUGGGAGCCAAGAGGGUCUGCGGAUCUCCCUGCUUAGCAAAUUGUGUGUAUAUAUAUACACACACACACAAUGAAAUACUAUUCAGCCUGAAAAGAAGAAAAUCCUGCCACUUAUGGCAACAGGGAUGAAUUUGAAGGACAUUAUGUUAAGUAAAAUAAACCAGACACAGAAAGACAAAUACUGCAUAAUCUCACUUGUAUGUGGAAUCUAGAAAAGUCAGACUCAUAAAAACAGAGUGUAGAGUGCUGGUUACCAUUCUAUACCAUAUAUAUAUCCUAUUGGUUCUGACUCUCCGGAGAACCCUAAAACAUAUGGCAACUUGAAAAUAUAAACUGAUUCACAAAUUAUUUAAACAAACUAGUGAAUGGUAUACAUUGAAUCGGCAGGGGGCUAAUAAGGUUAGAAUAAUAAUUACC
rnacentral:lncRNA from 1 species